UACGGAGGGGGCUAGCGUUGUUCGGAAUUACUGGGCGUAAAGCGCGCGUAGGCGGACCUGCAAGUCGGGGGUGAAAGCCCGAGGCUCAACCUCGGAACUGCCUUCGAUACUGCGGGUCUCGAGUCCGGGAGAGGUGAGUGGAAUUCCUAGUGUAGAGGUGAAAUUCGUAGAUAUUAGGAAGAACACCAGUGGCGAAGGCGGCUCACUGACCCGGUACUGACGCUGAGGCGCGAAAGCGUGGGGAGCAAACAGG
rnacentral:rRNA from 1 species